AGGACGAACGCUGGCGGCGUGCUUAACACAUGCAAGUCGAGCGGUAAGGCCUUUCGGGGUACACGAGCGGCGAACGGGUGAGUAACACGUGGGUGAUCUGCCCUGCACUUCGGGAUAAGCCUGGGAAACUGGGUCUAAUACCGGAUAUGACCUCAGGUUGCAUGACUUGGGGUGGAAAGAUUUAUCGGUGCAGGAUGGGCCCGCGGCCUAUCAGCUUGUUGGUGGGGUAAUGGCCUACCAAGGCGACGACGGGUAGCCGACCUGAGAGGGUGACCGGCCACACUGGGACUGAGACACGGCCCAGACUCCUACGGGAGGCAGCAGUGGGGAAUAUUGCACAAUGGGCGAAAGCCUGAUGCAGCGACGCCGCGUGAGGAUGACGGCCUUGGGUUGUAAACCGUCUUUCCAGCAGGACGAAGCGCAAGUGACGUACCUGCAGAAGAAGCACCGGCUAACACGUGCCAGCAGCCGC
rnacentral:rRNA from 1 species